rnacentral:rRNA from 1 species
AUUGAACGCUGGCGGCAUGCCUUACACAUGCAAGUCGAACGGUAACAGGCCGCAAGGUGCUGACGAGUGGCGAACGGGUGAGUAAUGCAUCGGAACGUGCCCAGUCGUGGGGGAUAACUGCUCGAAAGAGCAGCUAAUACCGCAUACGACCUGAGGGUGAAAGCGGGGGACCGUAAGGCCUCGCGCGAUUGGAGCGGCCGAUGUCGGAUUAGCUAGUUGGUGGGGUAAAGGCCUACCAAGGCAAAGAUCUGUAGUUGGUCUGAGAGGACGACCAGCCACACUGGGACUGAGACAAGGCCCAAUCACCUACGGGAGGCAGCAGUGGGGGAUGUUGGACAUUGGGCGCAAGCCUGAUCCAGCAAUGCAGAGUGGAGGAAGGAGGCCUUCGGGUUGUAAACUGCGUUGGUCAGGGAAGAAAUCUUCUGGGCUAAUACCCCGGGAGUAUGACGGUACCUGAAGAAUAAGCACCGGCUAACUACGUGCCAGCAGCCGCCGGAAUAC